UCCUGGGAUAACACUGACGUUCAUGCUCGAAAGCGUGGGUAGCAAACAGGAUUAGAUACCCUGGUAGUCCACGCCCUAAACGAUGUCAAUUAGCUGUUGGGCAACUUGAUUGCUUAGUAGCGUAGCUAACGCGUGAAAUUGACCGCCUGGGGAGUACGGUCGCAAGAUUAAAACUCAAAGGAAUUGACGGGGACCCGCACAAGCGGUGGAUGAUGUGGAUUAAUUCGAUGCAACGCGAAGAACCUUACCUGGUCUUGACAUGUACGGAAUCCUCCAGAGACGGAGGAGUGCCUUCGGGAGCCGUAACACAGGUGCUGCAUGGCUGUCGUCAGCUCGUGUCGUGAGAUGUUGGGUUAAGUCCCGCAACGAGCGCAACCCUUGUCAUUAGUUGCCAUCAUUUAGUUGGGCACUCUAAUGAGACUGCCGGUGACAAGCCGGAGGAAGGUGGGGAUGACGUCAAGUCCUCAUGGCCCUUAUGACCAGGGCUUCACACGUCAUACAAUGGUCGGUACAGAGGGUAGCCAAGCCGCGAGGUGGAGCCAAUCUCACAAAACCGAUCGUAGUCCGGAUUGCACUCUGCAACUCGAGUGCAUGAAGUCGGAAUCGCUAGUAAUCGCAGGUCAGCAUACUGCGGUGAAUACGUUCCCGGGUCUUGUACACACCGCCCGUCACACCAUGGGAGUGGGGGAUACCAGAAGUAGGUAGGGUAACCGCAAGGAGCCCGCUUACCACGGUAUGCUUCAUGACUGGGGUGAAGUCGUAACAAGGUAGCCGUAGGGGAACC
rnacentral:rRNA from 1 species